rnacentral:lncRNA from 1 species
GGAACAGCACCAUGAUCAUCUAGUCAGACAGGAACAGGAACAGCACCACGAUCAUCUAGUCAGACAGGAACAGGAACAGCACCAUGAUCAUCUAGUCAGACAGGAACAGGAACAGCACCAUGAUCAUCUAGUCAGACAGGAACAGCACCACGAUCGUCUAGUCAGACAGGAACAGCACCAUGAUCAUCUAGUCAGACAGGAACAGGAACAGCACCAUGAUCAUCUAGUCAGACAGGAACAGCACCAUGAUCAUCUAGUCAGACAGGGACAGGAACAGCACCAUGAUCAUCUAGUCAGACAGGAACAGGAACAGCACCAUGAUCCAUGACUUACUGCAGGCUGAGGAAUGAAGGUCAAGAAAUGAAGGCUUAAUGUCUGCCCAUCUGCACAACAUGCUCUAAAUAACGAUGACCUCAAACGUGUGUCUUUGUAAAAGGUCGAGAAGGUCAGUGUGCAAAAUCCAGACAUGAUAGAUUGCAGUGAAAUAAAAUAAAAAAUAGUUGUAGACUAGACAAAAGCGACAAGACAGGAGUGAAAAAGUAAGUUUCAUGCAAUUUGUUUAGUUUUUUGGGGGGAUACAUCAAUUCUGCUGGACAAUUUACCAUAGGAAGUUAGCUCGCUAGCCAUAUAUGGCUCUGGCUAACUAGCUAAUGUUAGCUGGAGUUUUUGUUAGGCCUACCAACUAGGUUAGCUAGCUAACUACAUUUUACAUUUUUGUCAUUUAGCAGACGCUCUUAUCCAGAGCGACUUACAGUAGUGAAUGCAUACAUUUCAUACAUUUCAUUUCAGGCAUUUUUGUAUUAACUAUAGUAGUUACCAUAGCGCGUUCUACAGAAUAGACUUUCCAUGCAAUCUGUUGAGUUUCCUUGUAUUAGCUAGGGCUUCCGAAUGGCGCAGCGGGCUCAGUGCAAGAGGCAUCACUGCAGUCCCUGGUUCGAAUCCAGGCCGCAUCACAUCUGGCUGUGAUUGGGAGUCCCAUAGGGCAGUGCACAAUUGGCCCAGUGUUGUCUGGGGUAGGCUGUCAUUGUAAAUAAGAAUUUGUUCAUUAACUGACUUGCCUAGUUAAAUAAAGGUUAAAACAUUUUUUUUUUUUAAAGCUAGCACACUAGUUAGAUAGUUUUCUAAUUUUAACUAGUUAGCUAAGUUACAUGAUAAAACGUAUCUGGGACAACUUCUCGUCAAACAUCAAAAUCAUAGGCAUUAAUCCUCCCUUUACUGCUAUUGACAGCCUCCAUUCUUCUCGGAAAGCUUUUCCACAGAAGCUGUGGGGACCUGCUUCCAUUCAGUCACAAGAAGAUUAGUAAGGUCACACACUGAUGUUGAGCGAUUAGGCCUGGCUCGCAGUCGGCAUUCCAAUUCAUCCCAAAGGUAUUGUAUGUUUUUUUUUACCUUUAUUUAACUAGGCAAGUCAGUUAAGAACAAAUUCUUAUUUUCAAUGACGGCCUAGGAACAGUGGGUUAACUGCCUGUUCAGGGGCAGAACGACAGAUUUGUACCUUGUCAGCUCAGGGAUUCGAACUUGCAACCUUUCGGCUACUAGUCCAACGCUCUAACCACUAGGCUACCCUGCCACCCCAGGUUGAGGUCAGGGCCCUGUGCAGACCAGUCAAGUUCUUCCACACCAAUCUCGAUCAACCAUUUCUGUAUGGACCUCGCUUUGUGCACGGGGGCAUUGUCAUGCUGAAACAGGAAAGGGCCUUCCCCAAACUGUUGCCACAAAGUUGGAAGCACAGAAUAGUCUAAAAUGUCAUUGUAUGCUGUAGCGUUAAGAUUUCCCGGCACUGGAACUAAGGGGCCUGAACCAUGAAAAACAGCCCCAGACCAUUAUUCCUCCUACACCAAACUUUACAGUUGGCACUAUACAUUCGGGCAGGUAGCGUUCUCCUGGCAUCCAGAAGGUGAAGCGUGAUUCAUCACUCCAGACAACAUGUUUCCACUGCUUCAUAUUCCAAUGGUGGCGAGCUUUACACCACUCCAGCCGAUGCUUGGCAUUGUGAGCAUGGUGAUCUUAGGCUUGUGUGCGGCUGCUCGGCCAUGGAAACCCACUUCAUGAAGCUCCCGACGAACAGUUCUUGUGCUGAAGUUGGAACUCUAGUGAGUGUUGCAACCGAGGACAGACUAUUUUUUACGCGCUUCAGCACUCAGCUAGCUAGCUCGGCUCACCUUUCAGUGAAGUUAGCAACAACAGUGGAAUUUACGGUUCUAAACACUAGCUAACUUAUUAGUGUUAGCACUGAUAGAACAAUGGUCCAGAUGUUUCACCGGAAGUAUAAAUAUGAAGCACCCGGUUGGAGUUUCCUCUCCCGACAAAUACGGUAGGGAGAGAAAGCUCAUUGGCCGGCAGCGGGAGAGUAUGGAGCGAGAUGGAACUGGGCUGACAUUCUGACGAUUUUCUCAUCGAUGAAACAUUUGAUCUCAAUCGUUUUCUGUUCCCAAAACUCUAAUAUUUAGCAAACAGAGUGCACUCCCUUUGCCCAAGUUUCUAAAAUGUGAGACGUUUAGAAGGCCAGGACUGAGUUUGGGAGACCCUGGUCUAAACUAUAGAACGCAUGAUUAUGAUAACUAGGAUAGGAUUAACGUAGUUUCUAAUGCUAAAUUGUCAUAGAUGUUUCUUCUUUUCCACAGAUUUCCACCAGGUCUCAGAUGGGGGAAAAAUGGGGGAAAAAUACUUACAAUAAAGAAACAUAUGAAGACAGAGACAG